GAUGAACGCUGGCGGUAUGCUUAACACAUGCAAGUCGAACGGACUCUUCGGAGUUAGUGGCGGACGGGAGGGUAACGCGUGAGAAUCUGGCUUUGGGUUCGGGACAACCACUGGAAACGGUGGCUAAUAACGGAUGUGCCGAGAGGUAAAAGAGAAGUUGCCUGAAGAUGAGUUCGCGUCUGAUUAGCUAGUUGGUGGGGUAAAGGCUCACCAAGGCAGCGAUCAGUAGCUGGUCUGAGAGGAUGACCAGCCACACUGGGACUGGGACACGGCCCAGACUCCUACGGGGGGCAGCAGUGGGGAAUUUUCCGCAAGGGGCGAAGGCCUGACGGAGCAAUACCGCGUGAGGGAAGAAGGCUCUUGGGUUGUAAACCUCUUUUCGUAGGGAAGAACAAAAUGACGUUACCUAAGGAAUCAGCACCGGCUAACUCCGUG
rnacentral:rRNA from 1 species